CAAACUGGAGAUGGCGACCGGCGCACGGGUGAGUAACACGUAUCCAACCUGCCGAUAACUCGGGGAUAGCCUUUUGAAAGAAAGAUUAAUACCGGAUAGUAUACGAAUAUCGCAUGAUAUUUUUAUUAAAGAAUUUCGGUUAUCGAUGGGGAUGCGUUCCAUUAGGUUGUUGGCGGGGUAACGGGCCCACCAAGCCUUCGAUGGAUAGGGGUUCUGAGAGGAAGGUCCCCCACAUUGGAACUGAGACACGAUCCAAACUCCUACGGGAGGCAGCAUG
rnacentral:rRNA from 1 species